CAUGGACGCGCUUGUGACAUGCGUUUGAGGCUAGCAAAUGCGAUAUCUUCGUGAAACGCUCCAAAAAGCGCUGAAAUAUGUCGCAUCUUGCAGAUCUUAGCUCGCGCAUCGCAACUUUCGCGAAACGAGCCCAAGGAGACUCAGUCCCGGCUGCAUUCAGGCGGAGCUGAAGAACUGUUCUUCACAUCUUUGUACUGUUUUCUGAAGGCACUAGAAACCCUGGGAUAUUGGUUUUAAUUAAACCUGUUCAAAAGGCUCUACACUUACGGAGAAUGUGAGGCCCCCAUCCCAAGGACAGCUCUGAUGGUCUGUAAGAGUACAUACAGCCUUGAGCGGACAAGCCGAAACAGAAACCUAAACCAGGCCUGAAAAUCCCACUGUUCCAGCACUUUAUUUCCUUUUCACCCAGUCUGAGAUCACCAACAGACACCAAGACAUAUGAAGUUUUCUUUUUCUCAUGUAUGACCGAAAUCUCAGUUUAGGCUCAGAAAUAUUUCAUUAGAGUUUUCUGUAGUGUCAUCCAAACAAAUCAUACAAAAUCUCAGGUUUUUUCAAACUAAUGUUUGAAGUUUCAUUUAUUCAUUUCUCAUUUAUCUCAUACGAAUCUCACUUUGUUUCCUCAUUCGCUUCUUGCUAUUGCUCCUAUUUUUGUUCAGACACAGAAUAGCUUUGCGUGGUCCAUUAAUGUUUUUAGAUUACAGCACAGAACCGUAUGUAGUUGCCUAGCACAGACUAAGAAAUAAUUGAGACCCUCUAACUCCUGUUAACUGUGAUAUAUUUCAUGAUUUUCUAUUGCUAUUGU